UACCAGCACCCCGAGUGGUCGGGACGAUUAUUGGGCCUAAAGCAUCCGUAGCCGGUACUGCAAGUCUUCCGUUAAAUCCACCUGCUCAACAGUUGGGCUGCGGAGGAUACUACAGCGCUAGGAGGCGGGAGAGGCAAGCGGUACUCAGUGGGUAGGGGUAAAAUCCUCUGAUCCAUUGAAGACCACCAGUGGCGAAGGCGGCUUGCCAGAACGCGCUCGACGGUGAGGGAUGAAAGCUGGGGGAGCAAACCGG
rnacentral:rRNA from 1 species